UUUCCCUUGGUCAAAUUUACCCGGUCAAAUUUACCCACUGUAUAUUUUUGAAACGUGCCAUUGGCAAACCUCAAAAUGUCAGAACAUAGGUCAUAGCACAUUGUGAUGUCGGAAAUAGAGGAUAUUACACGGCGGCGCAAAGAUAUGACUUUUAUCUUCGAGUGGUGAAAACAAUAUUCAGUUACGAACGAGCGCAGCGAGUGAGUAAAAUAUUGUUUUAACACGAGAAGAUAAAAGUCAUACCUUCAAGCCACGAUGUAAUGUUCUGUUUAUUAUAUAGUCCCAAGCGAAAAAUUGUGAAAUUUCGCGCCCAAAAGCAAAUUGGAAAAGUCACGUGAUAGAUAUCUUCACUGGUGAAGAUAUGGAAAAUAUCUCACUGUGUAUUUUUCAGUAUCUCACUUUCUACUAUAUAAUAAGGGUGAUCUACAGUCCGUAUCAAUUGAACGUAAUAAAAGGUUCAACAAGUUGCGUCGAUCAUAACCGAUCUAGCUUAAAGGUACUGUUGGUAGGUACUCUAUUUGUGCUGAACACUGUAAUAGGUACUAUUUUGUAAUUUAAAAAUUGCAUGUUAAUUACGCAAUAGUUUGCCAAACGUGGCAUGAACCGUUUUAUUAGUAAAUACGCAGUAUAUGUAAAC